rnacentral:rRNA from 1 species
GACGAACGCUGGCGGCGUGCUUAACACAUGCAAGUCGAGCGAUGAAGUUCCUUCGGGAAUGGAUUAGCGGCGGACGGGUGAGUAACACGUGGGUAACCUGCCUCAUAGAGGGGAAUAGCCUUCCGAAAGGAAGAUUAAUACCGCAUAAGAUUGUAGUUUCGCAUGAAACAGCAAUUAAAGGAGUAAUCCGCUAUGAGAUGGACCCGCGUCGCAUUAGCUAGUUGGUGAGGUAACGGCUCACCAAGGCGACGAUGCGUAGCCGACCUGAGAGGGUGAUCGGCCACAUUGGGACUGAGACACGGCCCAGACUCCUACGGGAGGCAGCAGUGGGGAAUAUUGCACAAUGGGGGAAACCCUGAUGCAGCAACGCUGCGUGAGUGAUGACGGUCUUCGGAUUGUAAAACUCUGUCUUCAGGGACGAUAAUGACGGUACCUGAGGAGGAAGCCACGGCUAACUACGUGCCAGCCGCCGCAGUAACAC